rnacentral:rRNA from 1 species
GAACCGGCGUAAGGGGCAGUAAGGCAUGGGUAACCUACCCCGAGGUCCGGGAUAGCCAUCAGAAAUGGUGGGUAAUACCGGAUGAACUCGUGAGAGCAAAGGUCCGCCGCCUCGGGAGGGGCCCAUGUGGUAUUAGCUAGUUGGUAGGGUAAUGGCCUACCAAGGCGAAGAUGCCUAGCGGGUGUGAGAGCACGACCCGCGCCACUGGCACUGAGACACUGGCCAGACACCUACGGGUGGCUGCAGUCGAGAAUCUUCGGCAAUGGGCGCAAGCCUGACCGAGCGACGCCGCGUGCGCGAUGAAGGCCUUCGGGUUGUAAAGCGCUGUCGAGGGGAGGAAAAGCCCCACAAGGGCUUGAUCGGCCCCUGGAGGAAGCACGGGCUAAGUUCGUGCCAGCAGCCGCGGUAAGACGAACCGUGCGAACGUUGUUCGGAAUCACUGGGCUUAAAGGGUGCGUAGGCGGGUUGUCCAGUCUGGGGUGAAAUCCCACGGCUCAACCGUGGAACUGCCUCAGAUACUGACGACCUCGAGGGAGGUAGGGGCGAGCGGAACUGUGGGUGGAGCGGUGAAAUGCGUUGAUAUCCACAGGAACUCCGGUGGCGAAGGCGGCUCGCUGGACCUCUGCUGACGCUGAGGCACGAAAGCUAGGGGAGCAAACGGGAUUAGAUACCCCGGUAGUCCUAGCCCUAAACGAUGGGUACUAGGUAGUAGGCUAGACAUGGGCUUACUGCCGUAGCAAAAGUGCUAAGUACCCCGCCUGGGGAGUAUGGCCGCAAGGCUGAAACUCAAAUGAAUUGACGGGGG